AGCGAACGCUGGCGGCAGGCCUAACACAUGCAAGUCGAACGAACUCUUCGGAGUUAGUGGCGGACGGGUGAGUAACACGUGGGAACGUGCCUUUAGGUUCGGAAUAACUCAGGGAAACUUGUGCUAAUACCGAAUGUGCCCUUCGGGGGAAAGAUUUAUCGCCUUUAGAGCGGCCCGCGUCUGAUUAGCUAGUUGGUGAGGUAAAGGCUCACCAAGGCGACGAUCAGUAGCUGGUCUAAGAGGAUGAUCAGCCACAUUGGGACUGAGACACGGCCCAAACUCCUACGGGAGGCAGCAGUGGGGAAUCUUGCGCAAUGGGCGAAAGCCUGACGCAGCCAUGCCGCGUGAAUGAUGAAGGUCUUAGGAUUGUAAAAUUCUUUCACCGGGGACGAUAAUGACGGUACCCGGAGAAGAAGCCCCGGCUAACUUCGUG
rnacentral:rRNA from 1 species